GACGAACGCUGGCGGCGUGCUUAACACAUGCAAGUCGAACGGAAAGGCUCCAGCUUGCUGGAGUACUCGAGUGGCGAACGGGUGAGUAACACGUGGGUAAUCUGCCCUGCACUCUGGGAUAAGCCUGGGAAACUGGGUCUAAUACUGGAUAUGACCUUUCUCCUUAUGGGGUUUGGUGGAAAGUUUUUCGGUGUAGGAUGAGCCCGCGGCCUAUCAGCUUGUUGGUGGGGUGAUGGCCUACCAAGGCGACGACGGGUAGCCGGCCUGAGAGGGUGAUCGGCCACAUUGGGACUGAGAUACGGCCCAGACUCCUACGGGAGGCAGCAGUGGGGAAUCUUGCAUAAUGGGCGGAAGCCUGAUGCAGCGACGCCGCGUGAGGGAUGACGGCCUUCGGGUUGUAAACCUCUUUCAGCAGGGACGAAGCGUAAGUGACGGUACCUGCAGAAGAAGCACCGGCUAACUACGUG
rnacentral:rRNA from 1 species